rnacentral:rRNA from 1 species
AGAGUUUGAUCCUGGCUCAGAACGAACGCUGGCGGCGCGUCUUAAACAUGCAAGUCGAACGGGAACCCUGAUGCUUGCAUUGGGGGGAGAGUGGCGAACUGGUGAGUAACACGUGGAUAAUCUGCCUUCAGGUUGGGGAUAACCACUCGAAAGGGUGGCUAAUACCGAAUAAGAUGGUAGUUGCAUAUGUAGCAGCCAUUAAAGGUGGGGACCGCAAGGCCUACUACCUGAAGAUGAGUCCGCGGCCCAUUAGCUUGUUGGCGGGGUAAAAGCUCACCAAGGCGACGAUGGGUAACCGGCCUGAGAGGGUGAACGGUCACACUGGGACUGAGAUACGGCCCAGACUCCUACGGGAGGCAGCAGUUAAGAAUUUUGCACAAUGGGCGAAAGCCUGAUGCAGCGACGCCGCGUGGACGAUGAAGGUCUUCGGAUUGUAAAGUCCAUUAAGCAGGGACGAAUAAGCAAGAGGUAAUAUUUCUUGUGAUGACGGUACCUGCCUAAAGCCCCGGCUAACUACGUGCCAGCAGCCGCGGUAAUACGUAUGGGGCGAGCGUUGUUCGGAAUUAUUGGGCGUAAAGGGCGUGUAGGUGGGGGAUUAAGUUAGGUGUGAAAGCCAUGGGCUCAACCCGUGAAUUGCAUCUAAUACUGGUUCUCUUGAGUUCGGGAGAGGAGAGCGGAAUUCCAGGUGUAGCGGUGAAAUGCGUAGAUAUCUGGAAGAACACCAGUGGCGAAGGCGGCUCUCUAGCCUAGAACUGACACUAAGGCGCGAAAGCGUGGGGAGCGAACGGGAUUAGAUACCCUGGUAGUCC